GAGUGUCCUCCAUGGUCUCCAACAGAUCAGCUUGAUUUUUUAGGAAAGUAAUCAUAUUCUUAAGUGUCGGCAAAUCCUUCAACGUGUUACGGAAUGGAGUUAUCAUUGUGCACAAGAGAAAUAAAUGUAUCACGAAAUUCAAGCCAGUCAUGAUUUUGACCCGAAAAGGUAGGUAUAGGUAUAGUAGGUAAUUUAAGUUUUGGCCCACCUCCAUGCACAGUACUAGAACCUGGCAUCGAACCGGAACCGGUGGCGCCGGGCUGUUCGUGCCGCGCCAACAACUCUCGGGCAAGGGCGAUGCUCUGGAAGUACUGGGACUCAAAAUUCUCACGUUCUGUGAAUUGGUCCUCUGGAAUUUCAGAUACAUUUUCAAGGUUAGAUUGAACAUCAUCAUAUUCUGAAUAAAGUUCUUCUAUUUUAGUAAGGCGAAUGUUGAGCUCGUUAAUUAAAAGUGAUGUUAUCGUA